GGACCCGUGGCGUAGUGGAUAGCGCUGCGGACUUCUUAAUCUAUUCUUCCUUCAGGUACGUUCCUGGUUCGAUUCCCGCGCACGGGUCCA